rnacentral:lncRNA from 1 species
UCGGAUCCUCUUAAGCCACCGUCCAAAUCCCUCGUAGCGAGAGUUCUCAAUCCGCUCUCUAAACAACAGAUCAACGCUGAAACAACAGUACUACCUGGUUUCAGAGACAGAAAGAUUUCGCAGUUAAAUACAUUAGAUAGAAAAAGAGAUUCAAGGACAAAAGCUCUCUGUUUCUGAUGUAUGGUUGUUUGAAGCCAUGGAUUCAACCAACGAGAACAAGUCCUUUGUAUUACCCUACCACCCUAUCUUUUUUCUUUGUCUAAUCAUUGAAAUAACUUCUAUAGCCGCAAAUUUUUUUAUUUUGUUUUGUAUUUUUUAUUAAAAUA